rnacentral:rRNA from 1 species
UACGGAGGGUGCGAGCGUUGUCCGGAAUCACUGGGCGUAAAGGGCGCGUAGGCGGCAUGCCAAGCGUGUGGUGAAAGCCCGGGGCUCAACCCCGGGUCGGCCGUGCGGACUGGCGUGCUCGAGCACUGUAGGGGCGGGUGGAAUUCCGGGUGUAGCGGUGGAAUGCGCAGAUAUCGGGAAGAACACCCGUGGCGAAGGCGGCUCUCUGGGACGGUACUGACGCUGAGACGCGAAAGCGUGGGGAGCGAACAGG